UAAGAUAAAGCCAAAACGAGGCAGAUUUUUGUUACAAAUCGAAUUGAUUAUAAAUCUAUCUUAA
rnacentral:tRNA from 1 species